rnacentral:rRNA from 1 species
UCAAUUUUUACAGUUAUUAAAAGUUAAGUUUGUAAAAGAUUAGGUAGUUGGUUGAUUUAAAGUUUACCAAGCCUUUUAUCUUUAGUUGAUUUUAGAGAAUGUACAACCACACUGGGAAUAAAAAAGGUCCAGACUAUUUUUAAAUAGUCAGCAGCAAGGAAUUUUGAACAAUGAACGUAAGUUUGAUUCAGCAAUAUUAAUGAGUGAUGAAUGUA